rnacentral:tRNA from 1 species
GCCAACAUAGCUCAGCUGGCAGAGCAGCGCAUUCGUAAUGCGCAGGUCGUGGGUUCGAGCCCCUCUGUUGGCUCCA